rnacentral:lncRNA from 1 species
CUGACAGAUACAGAUUCAUUGAACCUGGACAAAUGAAUCUGGUCAGAAUGUCUGACAGAUACAGAUUCAUUGAACCUGGAUAGAUGAAUCUGGACAGUGUGUUGGUGGCUUGGUCUCACUAUAAAUAAUGAGCCUCGACACUUGAGUUGGAGCACGGGAAAAACACAAACACCAUUCUCAUUAUUCUCUCUUACACUCUCACCAUCUACUCCGAUAUAUACACAUAUACAUACUGUUCUCGGGCGAACUGAGGUGUUGAUCGCUGUUGAUCGUACUCGUG